CAGUCGCCGCGGGAAUACGGAGGGUGCAAGCGUUAAUCGGAAUUACUGGGCGUAAAGCGUGCGUAGGUGGUGGUUUAAGUCCGUUGUGAAAGCCCUGGGCUCAACCUGGGAAUUGCAGUGGAUACUGGGUCACUAGAGUGUGGUAGAGGAUAGUGGAAUUUCCGGUGUAGCAGUGAAAUGCGUAGAGAUCGGAAGGAACAUCUGUGGCGAAGGCGACUAUCUGGGCCAACACUGACACUGAGGCACGAAAGCGUGGGGAGCAAACAGGAUUAGAUACCCGGGUAGUCCCUGUCUCUUAUAU
rnacentral:rRNA from 1 species